CCUACGGGAGGCAGCAGUCGAGAAUCAUUCACAAUGGGGGAAACCCUGAUGGUGCGACGCCGCGUGGGGGAAUGAAGGUCUUCGGAUUGUAAACCCCUGUCAGGUGGGAGCAAAUAAAAAAGAUAGUACCCCAAGAGGAAGAGACGGCUAACUCUGUGCCAGCAGCCGCGGUAAUACAGAGGUCUCAAGCGUUGUUCGGAAUCAUUGGGCGUAAAGCGUGCGUAGGCUGUUUCGUAAGCCGUGUGUGAAAGGCGCGGGCUCAACCCGCGGACGGCACAUGAUACUGCGAGACUAGAGUAAUGGAGGGGGAACCGGAAUUCUCGGUGUAGCAGUGAAAUGCGUAGAUAUCGAGAGGAACACUCGUGGCGAAGGCGGGUUCCUGGACAUUAACUGACGCUGAGGCACGAAGGCCAGGGGAGCGAAAGGGAUUAGAUACCCGAGUAGUC
rnacentral:rRNA from 1 species